GAUGAAGAACGUAGCGAAAUGCGAUAAGUAAUGUGAAUUGCAGAAUUCAGUGAGUCAUCGAAUCUUUGAACGCACAUUGCGCCCCCUGGUAUUCCGGGGGGCAUGCCUGUUCGAGCGUCAUUUCAACCCUCAAGCUCUGCUUGGUAUUGAGUCCAUGUCAGCAAUGGCAGGCUCCAAAAUCAGUGGCGGCGCCGCUGGGUCCUGAACGUAGUAAUAUCUCUCGUUACAGGUGCUCGGCGUGCUUCUGCCAAAACCCCAAUUUUUCUAUGGUUGACCUCGGAUCAGGUAGGGAUACCCGCUGAACUUAAGCAUAUCAAUAAGCGGAGGA
rnacentral:misc_RNA from 1 species